rnacentral:misc_RNA from 1 species
UAAGAAGUUUUGGAGCACAAAGGACGCAGGCCAGGAGCCAUUCAGUUUCAAUAUAGGCCAGGGUUCGGUGAUCAAAGGAUGGGACGAGGGAGUUAUGACCAUGCAAGUGGGUGAAGUUGCUCGUAUUCAGUGCACCCCGGAUUAUGCGUAUGGAGCUAGUGGGUUUCCGGCCUGGGGAAUUCGACCAAACUCAGUGCUGGUGUUCGAGAUUGAGGUUCUUAGCGCCCAGUAAACG